CGUUAAUUUGAUCGCCUCCCAGUGGUCAGUGAAGGACAUGAAACACUUGCUGAGCCACAGGUGUGGGUCCUGAUAUAGUUCCGGGGCUUCUUAAAAUGCUGAGACCCUGGUGUCCUUCCAGAGCUGCCCUGUAACGAGAAACGCCUCCCUCUCCAUCUGCCUCUGAACGGAAGGCCACUGAUAGGAGGCUCUUCCAACUUACAGCCGAGAAAGCAGGUCUCAGUUAAUUUGGAGGAUGGUCCUCAUGAAGGGGGUGGCACACCUGCUCCGAAGGGCCUGUAGUCCCAGCUGAUGCGUCCCCCGAGAAGCAGGCUAAGCUAAGGAGGAUGGCAGUGCAGCUGGGUCCACAGCAGGCUCGGUACACUUCACGGGAGAAAGAGCUCGAACAGCUGGAACCCAGAGAACCCUUCAGUGUCCUCUGGGGAUGGACUUCCUGCCACGGACAAGCUGACCCAGGCUUCGGAAGGCAAGACAGAGGCCAGGAAUAAAGCUGGACCACGGAAGCCUGGAAUCUCUCAAAGGGUCCCGCACAGACCACAGCCCCGAGCAAGACGCCAGAGGCCCAAGGAGCAGAAAUCACCUGGAUGUUACCUUUCUCAGAAGGAUGAACAAAACCAGAGGAUCCUGUCACCCAGUGACCUAACCUCGGAUGACUAGACUAUAGCCAUUGGCAUUUCCCAGCCAACAGGGGCUGCUCCGUCCCAAUUCUGCAGCCAAACGGUCCAGGAAAAAACGGACUGCAUGGCUGUGAGCGCCCACGUGCCCUUGCAGCCGGGGCACCCGUCCUGCUCCCACAAUGGAUGCCCUGCGGAGCUCACGGGCUGGGACGGGACAGUGUGCUCUGCGCAGCCUCUUCCCGACCUUGGCUCGUCUCCCCUGGUUCCCCACGAAGGACAGGCCCGUGCAGG